rnacentral:rRNA from 1 species
UACGUAGGGUGCAAGCGUUGUUCGGAAUUACUGGGCGUAAAGGGCGCGUAGGCGGGCCCGUAUGUCGAUUGUGAAAGCCCUGGGCUCAACCUGGGAAUUGCAGUCGAAACUGCGGGUCUUGAGUGCCUGAGAGGAUGGCGGAAUUCCCGGUGUAGAAGUGAAAUUCGUAGAUAUCGGGAAGAACACCUGAGGCGAUGGCGGCUAUCUGGCGGUGCACUGACGCUGAUGCGCGAAAGCGUGGGGAGCAAACAGG